AGAGUUUGAUCCUGGCUCAGAUUGAACGCUGGCGGCAUGCCUUACACAUGCAAGUCGAACGGUAACGCGGGGGCAACCCUGGCGACGAGUGGCGAACGGGUGAGUAAUGCAUCGGAACGUGCCCAGUAGUGGGGGAUAGCUCGGCGAAAGCCGGAUUAAUACCGCAUACGCACUACGGUGGAAAGCGGGGGACCGAAAGGCCUCGCGCUAUUGGAGCGGCCGAUGUCGGAUUAGCUUGUUGGUGGGGUAAUGGCCUACCAAGGCGACGAUCCGUAGCUGGUCUGAGAGGACGACCAGCCACACUGGGACUGAGACACGGCCCAGACUCCUACGGGAGGCAGCAGUGGGGAAUUUUGGACAAUGGGCGAAAGCCUGAUCCAGCAAUGCCGCGUGUGUGAAGAAGGCCUUCGGGUUGUAAAGCACUUUUGGCGGGAACGAAACAGCGCUUGCUAAUACCGGGCGCGAAUGACGGUACCCGCAGAAUAAGCACCGGCUAACUAC
rnacentral:rRNA from 1 species